AUCCGGCUAGCUCAGUCGGUACUCGGUAGAGCAUGAGACUCUUAAUCUCAGGGUCGUGGGUUCGGGCCCCACGUUGGGCG